GAUGAACGCUGGCGGCGUGCUUAACACAUGCAAGUCGAACGGGAAACAUUUCAUUGAGGCUUCGGCGGAUUUGGUCUGUUUCUAGUGGCGGACGGGUGAGUAACGCGUGGGUAACCUGCCUUGUACUGGGGGAUAACAGCCAGAAAUGGCUGCUAAUACCGCAUAAGCGCACGGGACCGCAUGGUCCUGUGUGAAAAACUCCGGUGGUAUAAGAUGGACCCGAGUUGGAUUAGCUAGUUGGCAGGGCAGCGGCCUACCAAGGCGACGAUCCAUAGCCGGCCUGAGAGGGUGAACGGCCACAUUGGGACUGAGACACGGCCCAGACUCCUACGGGAGGCAGCAGUGGGGAAUAUUGCACAAUGGGGGAAACCCUGAUGCAGCGACGCCGCGUGAAGGAAGAAGUAUCUCGGUAUGUAAACUUCUAUCAGCAGGGAAGAUAAUGACGGUACCUGACUAAGAAGCCCCGGCUAACUACGUGCCAGCCGCCGCGGUAA
rnacentral:rRNA from 1 species